UGGGAUCGGCUCCGUUUGGUUCGGAAAUUAAUAGGAACUAGUUAUACCGGGAAUAGAUACAAGUAUGAAUUUUUGUAGGAAUAAGGGUAUUUUUUUGUUUGGAUGAAAUUGUGAGUAUAAGCUGGAAUUAGAAAAAUUGUGUUUGGAUGGUUUUUGGGAAUAAGAGGAAUAGUUGGUAGUUAUAAAUAGAAAAUAAUAAUAUUAUCCCUAUAAUUGAAUUUUAAACUUAUAAUUUUAAAUUUAAAAUUUUAACUUUUAAAUUUAAAUUAGAAAUUAAAAUUUUAAAUUUUAAUAUUAAAAAUAUUAAUUUUAAAUAUCAAAUUUUAAAUUUCAGACCAAAUUUAAAUUUCAAAGAUAUAAAAUAACAUAUUUAAAAUUUAAAAACUAAAAAUAUCAAAUUUAAAAUUUAAACUUUAAUAAAAUUUAAAAUUUUAAUUUAUUAAUUUUAAUUUUAAAAUUAUAAAUUUUAAAAAUUUAAAUUUAAAUUUAAAAUAAAAAUCUCUCUCUACUCAAGUGGGUUGGACCCAAGCUUGUACCGGGUACAACCCGAU
rnacentral:lncRNA from 1 species